ACCCUUUAUCUCUGAGGGCCUAUACCAGAAAGAAAAAGGGAGAUUAGCACUUAGACUUACUUUUCCUCCAUCUUCUUUCACUUACAUCCACUUUCUAUUCUUACUAUACUUUUCCAACUGAUCUGCUUAGAUGUCUUUAUUUAUUAGCAAAACUGCCCUCGAACUAAUGUGCCUCACAUGUAACUAAUAAGCAGAAAUUGUUCUCUCCCCCUUGAUUUAAUCCUCGGAAGUUUAUGUAGCCACUAGUGAAGAGUAUCCAAGAGAUGGAUAAGGAGACAAAGGAGGCACGGAGAAUAUUCCCAUCUCUUUACUGUCUGCUCCGUCCCAAAACCCCAUCCAACUUGACGGUGUUAAUGGACAAGCAUCAGCCUAAGCUUGAACUUCUUCCCUCUUCACAGCUUUAUGGCUGCUCAGGUGGCUUUCAUCCUCUGUUACUUCCUCGUAGUAAAGCAGCUUUGUCAUAACCUCUUGCAGCUUUUAUGGCCGAGUCAAAAGACACUAACCAAACAUGAACACCUUAAGCUGAUUCGGGUAUCCAAAUAGAACCCAAAAACGAAUCGCCUUCUCUCCGGUCCCAGCAAGUAUCUCCGCCCCUUCGCUCAGGUAAGUAUCUCCGCCUCUUCGACUCCGGCAACCUCCUCCGCUUUGAUUCUUGUCGAAGUUGAAUUGAGUAUCAAAAAUAUUUGAUUUGGAGAAAUCUGAAAGAACAAGGUUAUUGUUGGUGGUGGUUCGAGAGUUUGUCGUCAUCGUCUUUAUCGGUUCGAGGGUUGGUUAUCCUUCAAUGGGAUUUGUGGAUAGUUACUUUUGGAUAGUUACUUUUGAUUAUUAGAUUAAGAAUCUGAGGAAUUUCAUUCUGUAUAUCCAUAACACCAAGUCCAUAUGUUCAUUACAAUUUUGCAUUA